rnacentral:rRNA from 1 species
UACGUAGGGUGCGAGCGUUGUCCGGAGUUACUGGGCGUAAAGGGUGUGUAGGCGGUUCUUUAAGUUUGGUGUGAAAUCUCCCGGCUCAACCGGGAGGGUGCGCCGAAUACUGAGGGACUAGAGUAUGGGAUGGGAAAGUGGAAUUCCUGGUGUAGCGGUGAAAUGCGUAGAUAUCAGGAGGAACACCCGUAGCGAAGGCGGCACUCUGGGCCGAUACUGACACUGAGGAGCGAAAGCGUGGGGAGCGAACAGG